GAUCCAGUCGAGAGUCUUAGGGACUCGGCAUACUGCUCAGUAACACGUGGCUAACCUAACCUAUGCAAGGGGAUAACCUCGAGGAAAUUGAGAAUAAUACCCUAUAGGUCACCAUGCCUGGAACGGUGACUUAAAGCUCAGGCGGCAUAGGAUGGGUCUGCGGCGUAUCAGGUCUUUUUUGGUGUAAUGUGCCUACUCCCUACGGGGUGCAGCAGGCGCGAAAACUUCACACUGCAGGAAACUGUGAUGAGGGAACUCCAAAGUGGUGCGGCAAAAUGUCCGCAUCCUUUCUUAACUUUUUAAAUCGGUUUUGGAAUAAGGGCCUGGGAAAGACCCGGUGCCAGCCGCCGCGGUAAUACCGGCAGCUCAAGUGGUCGUCGCUUUUAUUGGGCCUAAAACGUCCGUAGCCUGUUUAGUAAAUCCGUGGGUAAAUCAACGAGCUUAACUCGGUACUCAUGGGGUAGGGGUAAAAUCCUGUCAUCCCAUGAGGACCACCAGUUGCGAAGGCGCCACACUAGAACGGAUCCGACGGUCAGGGACGAAGCCUAGGGGCACGAACCGGAUUAGAUACCCGGGUAGUCCUAGGUGUAAACGCUGUGGACUUGGUGUCGGGGAUCCUCUAAGGGUUCUCGGUGCCGCAGCGAAGGUGUUAAGUGCACUGCCUGAAUAUACGUCGGCCCCUAAAA
rnacentral:rRNA from 1 species